AACGAACGCUGGCGGCAGGCUUAACACAUGCAAGUCGAGCGCCCCGCAAGGGGAGCGGCAGACGGGUGGGUAACGCGUGGGAAUCUACCCAUCCCUACGGAACAACUCCGGGAAACUGGAGCUAAUACCGUAUACGCCCUUCGGGGGAAAGAUUUAUCGGGGAUGGAUGAGCCCGCGUUGGAUUAGCUAGUUGGUGGGGUAAAGGCCUACCAAGGCGACGAUCCAUAGCUGGUCUGAGAGGAUGAUCAGCCACAUUGGGACUGAGACACGGCCCAAACUCCUACGGGAGGCAGCAGUGGGGAAUAUUGGACAAUGGGCGCAAGCUUGAUCCAGCCAUGCCGCGUGAGUGAUGAAGGCCUUAGGGUUGUAAAGCUCUUUCACCGGAGAAGAUAAUGACGGUAUCCGGAGAAGAAGCCCCGGCUAACUUCGUGCCAGCCGCCGCGGUAA
rnacentral:rRNA from 1 species